rnacentral:rRNA from 1 species
GACGUAGGGCGCGAGCGUUGUCCGGAUUUAUUGGGCGUAAAGAGCUCGUAGGCGGCUUGUCGCGUCUGCUGUGAAAUUUCGGGGCUCAACCCCGAACUUGCAGUGGGUACGGGCAGACUAGAGUGUGGUAGGGGAGACUGGAAUUCCUGGUGUAGCGGUGAAAUGCGCAGAUAUCAGGAGGAACACCGAUGGCGAAGGCAGGUCUCUGGGCCAUAACUGACGCUGAGAAGCGAAAGCAUGGGGGAGCGAACAGG